ACGGAUGAUGAAGCCCACGGGUUCUGAGAAGUGAUGAGCAUGCCCUUCGCUGACAC
rnacentral:snoRNA from 1 species